GGCUCGUUGGUUUAGGGGUAUGAUUCUCGCUUUGGGUGCGAGAGGUCCUGGGUUCAAAUCCCGGAUGAGCCC
rnacentral:tRNA from 1 species